UGAGGGAGGAGAAUGAA
rnacentral:miRNA from 1 species